UCCAAACAAAUGAAAUCAUUUCAGGGUUUUGUUCAAUCAAACCUUCGAUUAGAUAGAAACUGGAUAAAUCAUUACAAUUAUAACUUUUUGAAUACAAAGAUGUCUGCAACCGAGAAGUAAGACACACAAAGACAAUUUUUUAUAUUUUAUGUUUGAAGAUUGUUUUAUUGACAGUGAUUAAAAGUGAAUUAUGAACUUACAGUUUCAGUUUUGUUAACAAUAUGUGCAGCAAAGAGGUAACAAAAGCCUUUGGAUUAAAAAUUUCACGAAAUGAGGGCCACUUGAUCUUUGUCAACCAUAAUAUCCAUAAUAUGGGGAACGAUAGAGUCCAUAAAGUCUUGGAUUAUUGUAAUAACCAUAAUAUGGAUAGUAGCUGUAAUAUGGGUACCGGUAGUAAUGGCGAUAGAAGAUUCCGUCGGUUGACUUUGGAAUGACCAGUAAGAAGAUGGCGAUUAGGAUAACAAGUGAUUUAACCUGAUAAUAUGUGAAAGAAUAAAAAUUGUGUCUUCGAAUGUGAA